UCUCUCUCUCUCUCUCUCUCCGAGUAUCUCUGAAAAACUCUGAUCAGUUAUAAAUAAACAAGAAACAGAAAAUAUAUAAUACUUGUUGCUCUCUCUCUCUUCCGCACACAGAGGAAGAAGAAACCAAGAAACAGAGUAACGCUAACUCACAAACACUCUCUCUGGAAGACUAGAACUUUGUUGUCUCUGUUGCUUUUUUAUCUCAGCAAUGUAGCUCCCAGACAAAAAUCUGUUUCGAAAUGGCCAAAUGUCACCGAAAUAACAUCGGAUCCUUAAUCCUUGAUCACUCCUCCGCCACCAAUGCGUCCGCUGGCGGCCAUUUCAGAUUUUCCACUGCCUUCUCCCCUGCUGCAUUCCGCCGUAAAAUUUUUGACGCUGUUAGCUGUGGUGGCAGCUCCCGCUAUCGCCACCAUGAUGACGACUUUUCCUCCACCACGACAACAACAACCACCACCACCACUACCAUUGCAAGUAUCAUGGCGAUGUCAGGUAACAAUAAUGCCAGUGUGAAAAAGACAGGGAGAGCGAGAAAUGGAAAGUCGGAGAAGUUAUCGGAUCUGUUGAGUAUUGCAGAAGUGGAGACUGAAAUCGAGACGAAGAAGAAAGUCGAGGCAUUGGAAGAGCUGAAACGAGUAGUGAAGGAAUUUCAGGUUGAGAGCGAAACGAAGAGCAAAGAAGCUGCUUGUCGUGUAAGGUUACUUUCUAAGGAAGACUCGGAAGCAAGAGUCACUCUCGCUAUGUUAGGAGCCAUCCCUCCUCUAGUUGGAAUGCUUGAUGUGGAAGAUGUGGAGUCUCAGAUCGCUUCUCUCUAUGCCUUGCUCAAUCUUGGGAUAGGAAAUGAUGUGAACAAAGCUGCAAUUGUUAAAGCAGGGGCUGUUCACAAAAUGCUGAAGAUCAUAGAAUCUCCAAGUCCUCCUAACCCAUCUCUAUCUGAAGCAAUAGUGGCAAAUUUUCUAGGCUUGAGUGCAUUGGACUCAAAUAAGCCCAUCAUAGGUUCUUCAGGUGCAAUCCCUAUCUUGGUAAAUGCUCUUAAGGACUUUGGCCAUAAAAGUAGCCACCAAGCGAAACAAGAUGCUCUUAGAGCUCUGUACAACCUUUCAAUAUCCUCAUCCAAUGUUUCAUUUAUUAUAGAAACAAAUUUGAUCCCUUUUCUUAUGAAUAUGCUGGGAGACAUGGAAGUAAGUGAAAGAAUUCUUUCGAUUUUGAGCAAUGCAGCUUCCACUCCAGAUGGUAGAAGGGCCAUUAGUAUUGUACCAGAUGCUUUCCCAAUUUUGAUAGAUGUUUUGAAUUGGACUGACUCGCCAGGAUGCCAAGAGAAAGCAUCUUAUAUAUUGAUGGUGAUGGCGCACAAAGCCUACGGGGAUCGACAGGCCAUGAUUGAGGCAGGAAUUGUAUCAUCAUUGCUCGAGUUAACACUUUUGGGUAGCACAUUAGCACAGAAAAGGGCUUCGAGAAUCCUAGAAAUUCUAAGAGUGGACAAGGGGAAGCAAGUUUCAGAGAAUUAUGGUGGGAAUUUGGGUUCAGCAGUGUCUGCUCCUAUUUGUGGGUCUUCAUCAUCUUCCACAAACCCAAAUGGGGCUUCGAAAGAGUGUUUGGAGGAGACUGAAGAUAUGAUGAGCGAGGAAAAGAAAGCGGUGAAACAAUUAGUCCAACAGAGUUUGCAGAAUAAUAUGAGGAGAAUUGUCAAGAGGGCCAAUUUGCCUCAAGAUUUUGUACCAUCGGAGCAUUUUAAGUCCUUCACAUCAAGUUCAACCUCCAAGAGUUUACCGUUCUGAGGAGAUUGGAUGGAUCUAGAUUGGUGUGGAGAUUGAAGAGGAGCAUCUUGAAGUUAGUCUUUUUAUUAUUGUUCUAGUUGGUCUCGAUCUUUGUAGUGGCAUUGUUAGCACAUGAAAUAGUCGUCU
rnacentral:misc_RNA from 1 species